GCCAUAGCUCAGUGGUAGAGCAUCUGCCUCACUUGCAGGAGGUCCCUGCUUCAAUCCCCAGUAACUCCAGGUAGGGCU